UACGUAGGGCGCAAGCGUUAUCCGGAAUUAUUGGGCGUAAAGAGCUCGUAGGCGGCUCGUUGCGUCGGCUGUGAAAACCCACAGCUUAACUGUGGGCCUGCAGCCGAUACGGGCGAGCUAGAGUUCGGUAGGGGAGACUGGAAUUCCUGGUGUAGCGGUGAAAUGCGUAGAUAUCAGGAGGAACACCGGUGGUGUAGACGGCUUUCUGGACCGUAACUGACGCUGAGACACGAAAGCGUGGGUAGCAAACAGG
rnacentral:rRNA from 1 species